rnacentral:misc_RNA from 1 species
GAUGAAGAACGUAGUGAAAUGCGAUAAGUAAUGUGAAUUGCAGAAUUCAGUGAAUCAUCGAAUCUUUGAACGCACCUUGCGCCCUUUGGCUAUUCCGAAGGGCAUGCCUGUUUGAGUAUCAUGAACACCUCAACUCUCAUGGUUUGCCAUGAUGAGCUUGGACUUUGGGGGUCUUGCCGGCCUAUGGGUCGGCUCCUCUCAAAUUAAUCAGCUUGCCAGUGUUUGGUGGCAUCACAGGUGUGAUAACUAUCUACGCUUGUGGUUUUCCAUCAGGUAACCUUCAGUGAUGGAGGUUCGCUGGGGCUCAUAAAUGUCUCUCCUCAGUGAGGACAGCUUUUUUGAACGUUUGAUCUCAAAUCAGGUAGGACUACCCGCUGAACUUAAGCAUAUCAAUAAGCGGAGGA